rnacentral:rRNA from 1 species
GAUGAACGCUGGCGGCGUGCCUAAUACAUGCAAGUCGAGCGGACAGACGAGGCGCUUGCCUGUCUGACGUUAGCGGCGGACGCGUGAGUAACAUGUGGGGAACACACCCAGAAGGCUGGGGUUAACUAGUGAAAACGGUGCUAAUUACGGCAUAUCUACUGAACCGCAAGGUUCAGUAGUGUCGGACGGCUUUGCUUCCACUGAUCGCUGAAUCCGCGCCGCAUUAGCUAGUUGGUAAGGUAACGGCUUACCAAGGCAACGAUGCGUAGCCGACCUGAGAGGAUGAUCAGCCACACUGGAACUGAGACACGGUCCAGACUCCUACGGGAGGCAGCAGUAGGGAAUCUUCCACAAUGGGCGAAAGCCUGAUGGAGCCAUGCCGCGUGUGUGAUGAAGGUCUUCGGGUUGUAAAGUUCUUUUAGUGGGGAAGAACAGAUUAGUGAGUAUAUAUGCACGCAUUGACGGUACCUACAGAGAAAGCCCCGGCUAACUACGUG